AACGAACGCUGGCGGCAGGCUUAACACAUGCAAGUCGAACGCAUGCCUUCGGGCAUGAGUGGCAGACGGGUGAGUAACGCGUGGGAACCUACCCCUUGGUACGGGAUAGCUCCGGGAAACUGGAGAUAAUACCGUAUGUGUCCUGAGGGACAAAGAUUCAUCGCCAAGGGAUGGGCCCGCGUCGGAUUAGCUAGUUGGUGGGGUAACGGCCUACCAAGGCGACGAUCCGUAGCUGGUCUAAGAGGAUGAUCAGCCACAUUGGGACUGAGAAACGGCCCAAACUCCUACAGGAAGCAGCAGUGGGGAAUAUUGGACAAUGGGCGCAAGCCUGAUCCAGCCAUGCCGCGUGAGUGAUGAAGGCCCUAGGGUUGUAAAGCUCUUUCACCGGUGACGAUAAUGACGGUAACCGGAGAAGAAGCCCCGGCUAACUUCGUG
rnacentral:rRNA from 1 species